GCUUUCCCCGGUUCCCGCUCUGGAGCCGCGUUCCCGCUUUUCCCAGCUCCCUGGCACAUCCAUGAAUAUAUAUUGACCUUAUUAGAGCAGGGCUGCCAGCAGCGCCCGGGCCUCGUUUGCACAAAUUAAAGCUGUCAGCGGGUAAUUUAUGGAGCAGCGGGAAAGCUCGCAGGGAACGGCCUGGAUUGGGGAGCAGGACCUGCCAACUCUUAAUUUUUCCAGUUUGGAAUAAGAGCCUCGGAUCCAUCUGUUUGCUGUCAACUGAUGUUUGUUUGGAAAGGGAUUUUAUGGAUUUUUUCCAGCUCGCACUCCUGUUCUUCCACCCAGUUUACUGAACUCCAUAAAUGUCAGCUCUGGCAGUUUUUUCGGCCUGUCAGGGAGAAGAUCACAG